UAACUAGACUCAAAUUCCAGAAGGUCCCAAGGCUGAGAUACAAAGCAUGACCUAUGAGGAGGUGUGCUACACUCAGAAUUAUUAGGAACAAGCAGAAGCUACCCGUCAUGAACUGGAUAUUAUCUGACCCACCAAGUCGUAAGGUUAGCAUGUAAAACAGCUCUCCACCAACAAAGAGAAAUGAGAUUCUGGACCCAAUUCCAUCAUGGGACUGUGUUCUUCCCACCCACGACACCAAGCAAUUCUUGGACGCCAGCAGGCAGUCUGAAAAUUCAGCUCAAGUCCAGUCCUAUCUAGGGGAGCC